AUUUAUAUAGUUUAAAAAAAACAUUACAUUUUCACUGUAAAAUUAGAUUUAGAUCUUAUAAAUUUCUUAAAAAUA
rnacentral:tRNA from 1 species